UCUCGGCGCUUCAGGAGUUAGGCGAGCUCGUCAGCCGCCUCGGGAAAGCUGCGCCCCCGCAGGGGGGAAGCUUUAGCCCGGAGAAAUGGGUUGAGGAUUGGGCACCGAGCAGAUGCCCACAGACAGAGGACCGAUGCGUCCCGGGAGGGCUUGCCAGAGCCCCAGUUCGGUCGCCCCCGGAAGGGCACUCAGCCCCAACCCCCUUCGCCACCGCCGGCCCGGGAGUGGGGACUUUGGAGGUGCAGCCCCGCUACCGGAGACCCGAUCUCGAGCUCUCUGCCUACCUCUCAGCCAAGCUGCCGAGGGUCAGGGGGGCUGAGCUGGCUUGUCUGGAGAGUGCACGCUUUUGCUUGACCCCAGACCUUGCCCGACCAUCAUCAGGGCAACUGUGGGAAGAGGGUCAGGUUCCCUUCAUCUUCAGAAUCCACAGUAGUCCAUCCAGUCUUCCUCAGGAUGCAUCAUUCUGGCACUGCCUCCUUCUUUUGCUUACGGAGACCCUUCUGAUUCCAGUGGGCCCACCCAGCUAAUCCAGGGUGCUGGGAAUUAAACAAGGUAAAGAAUAUCCCAUCCAUUAAGAAGCUGAUAAUCUAUAAACAGAGACAAACAAGUGAGCAAGAAUGAAUUGCUGGGAGAACACGUAUGAGAAGAACCUAACCUGGAAUGUGUUUUCUAAGCAAUUCCUAAACUUUUGGCAGCAGGAAGACUACUGGAAGAAGAUGAAAAAUAAAUUAAUAAAUAGGUGAC